UACGGAGGAUGCAAGCGUUAUCCGGAUUCAUUGGGUUUAAAGGGCGCGUAGGUGGAAUUGUAAGUCAGGGGUGAAAUCCCUUCGCUUAACGAAGGAACUGCCAUUGAUACUGCAAAUCUUGAGUACAUUUGAUGAGGGCGGAAUGUGUCAUGUAGCGGUGAAAUGCUUAGAUAUGACACAGAACACCGAUUGCGAAGGCAGCUCUCAAAGCUGUAACUGACACUGAGGCACGAAAGCGUGGGGAGCAAACAGG
rnacentral:rRNA from 1 species